rnacentral:tmRNA from 13 species
CUGGUUUCGACGCCGGUGACAAAACCUUUCGUGCAUGCCGAGCGGUUCCAACAGCGUUCGUAAAUCCAACUGAUGGGCUUUGUUAGCAUAACUGCCAACGACGAAAACUACGCUCUAGCCGCUUAAAGGUUAGACUGCAAAGCUUGCUCGGCUCUGGGUGGGUGGCGCAGUAAAUUACAGAGCCUCGCGUGGAGUACCUGGUCCGGGGACAAAGCGUCAAAUCGAAAUGGACUCGCCCCAAGCUUCCUGGCCUUCGGACAGCGGACGGGUUAACACUAAAGAAUGGCCUAAGCAUGUAGACCGGUAGGCAGAGUGCCGACGGACGCGGGUUCAAUUCCCGC